rnacentral:rRNA from 1 species
GGGCGGCGUACCAUGCAAGUCGAGCGGUAGAGAGGUGCUUGCACCUCUUGAGAGCGGCGGACGGGUGAGUAAUGCCUAGGAAUCUGCCUGGUAGUGGGGGAUAACGCUCGGAAACGGACGCUAAUACCGCAUACGUCCUACGGGAGAAAGCAGGGGACCUUCGGGCCUUGCGCUAUCAGAUGAGCCUAGGUCGGAUUAGCUAGUUGGUGGGGUAAUGGCUCACCAAGGCGACGAUCCGUAACUGGUCUGAGAGGAUGAUCAGUCACACUGGAACUGAGACACGGUCCAGACUCCUACGGGAGGCAGCAGUGGGGAAUAUUGGACAAUGGGCGAAAGCCUGAUCCAGCCAUGCCGCGUGUGUGAAGAAGGUCUUCGGAUUGUAAAGCACUUUAAGUUGGGAGGAAGGGUUGUAGAUUAAUACUCUGCAAUUUUGACGUUACCGACAGAAUAAGCACCGGCUAACUCUGUGCCAGCAGCCGCGGUAAUACAGAGGGUGCAAGCGUUAAUCGGAAUUACUGGGCGUAAAGCGCGCGUAGGUGGUUCGUUAAGUUGGAUGUGAAAGCCCCGGGCUCAACCUGGGAACUGCAUUCAAAACUGUCGAGCUAGAGUAUGGUAGAGGGUGGUGGAAUUUCCUGUGUAGCGGUGAAAUGCGUAGAUAUAGGAAGGAACACCAGUGGCGAAGGCGACCACCUGGACUGAUACUGACACUGAGGUGCGAAAGCGUGGGGAGCAAACAGGAUUAGAUACCCUGGUAGUCCACGCCGUAAACGAUGUCAACUAGCCGUUGGGAGCCUUGAGCUCUUAGUGGCGCAGCUAACGCAUUAAGUUGACCGCCUGGGGAGUACGGCCGCAAGGUUAAAACUCAAAUGAAUUGACGGGGGCCCGCACAAGCGGUGGAGCAUGUGGUUUAAUUCGAAGCAACGCGAAAAAACCUUACCAGGCCUUGACAUCCAAUGAACUUUCCAGAGAUGGAUUGGUUGCCUUCGGGAACAUUGAGACAGGUGCUGCAUGGCUGUCGUCAGCUCGUGUCGUGGAAAGUUGGGGUUAAGUCCCGUAACGAGCGCAACCCUUGUCCUUAGUUACCAGCCACGUUAUGGUGGGGCCCCCUAAAGGAGACUGCCCGGACAAACCCGAAGGAAGGGGGGGAUGAAGUA